rnacentral:rRNA from 1 species
CCUACGGGUGGCAGCAGUGAGGAAUAUUGGUCAAUGGACGAAAGUCUGAACCAGCCACGCCGCGUGCAGGAUGACGGCUCUAUGAGCUGUAAACUGCUUUUGUAUUAGGGUAACCCCCCUUACGUGUACGGCCUUCAAUGCACACUACGAAUAAGGAUCGGGUAACCCCGCGCCAGCAGCCGCGGUAAUACGGAGGAUCCACGCGUUACGCGGAUGUAUUGGGUUUAAAGGGCGCGUAGGCGGUGUGAUAAGUUAGAGGUGAAAUCCCGGUGCUCAACACCGGGACUGCUCCUAAUACUGUUGGGCUAGAGGGUAGUUGCGGUAGGCGGAAUGUAUGGUGUAGCGGUGAAAUGCGUAGAGAUCAUGCAGAACACCAGUUGCGAAGGCAGCUUACCGAACUGUAUCUGACGUUGAGGCACGAAAGCGUGGGUAGCAAACAGGAUUAGAUACCCCUGUAGUC